AGAUGUGAGGGAAAUCUGGCUGUGACAUCUGUCACCCCACUGAUUGCCAAGAUUGAUUCUGCUGAUCUGGCUGGCUGGGGCUGGGGUGCCUUCCUCCUUUACCACUCUAUGUGUGUUCUUCCCGAAGUUGUGCACUAGGUUGAAGAGGAUGACCAUCCCCAAUAGAGGAGGGCCCGUCUUCAGUCAUGGGUAUAUGAGUAGCUGCAUUCCACUGCUGGAAAUUCCAAAUAGAGUCUCAAAAUAUUACUGCUCAUUGAAAAUGCAUCUGGUCACCCAAGAGCUCUGAUGGAGAUGUAGAAGAGUAAUGUUGUUGCUAUGCCUGCUAA
rnacentral:snRNA from 1 species